rnacentral:rRNA from 1 species
UACGGGGGGGGCAAGCGUUGUUCGGAAUUACUGGGCGUAAAGGGCUCGUAGGCGGCCAACUAAGUCCGACGUGAAAUCCCAAGGCUUAACCUUGGAACUGCGUCGGAUACUGGAUGGCUUGAAUUCGGGAGAGGGAUGCAGAAUUCCAGGUGUAGCGGUGAAAUGCGUAGAUAUCUGGAGGAAUACCGGUGGCGAAGGCGGCAUCCUGGACCGACACUGACGCUGAGGAGCGAAAGCCAGGGGAGCAAACGGG